CACGUAGGGGCGAGCGUUGUCCGGAUUUAUUGGGCGUAAAGAGCUCGUAGGCGGCUCAGUAAGUCAGGUGUGAAAACUCCAGGCUCAACCUGGAGACGCCACUUGAUACUGCUGUGGCUAGAGUCCGGUAGGGGAGCAUGGAAUUCCUGGUGGUAGCGGUGAAAUGCGCAGAUAUCAGGAGGAACACCAGUGGCGGAAGGCGGUGCCUCUGGGCCGGAACUGACGCUGAGGAGCGAAAGCGUGGGAGCAACAGG
rnacentral:rRNA from 1 species